AGCUACUGGGAGAAAUAAUAAUUAAACAUUCAGCUGUUCGAUUGCAACCGGAAGAAGAAGGACAUAUAAGAAGAACAAAGAAAAAACAUACACCGCACGCCAGCUGUCUCACCCAGAAUACGCAGCCGGCAAUGAUAAGUAACCGUUCAGCUGUUUAUACUGCUAAUGGACUGUCUCGUUGAAAAGAUAAGAAGGGGAAGGGAAGGAGAAGGCAACAAGGACGAGUGAUGUCAGAUCAGGAGACACAAUUAUUUAGAUGGGUCUUUUAGCGCAACCAUGGAGCUAAGGAUAGCAGGACUGAUCCAGUCAGCAAGAGCUCCUCUCUCUGAGAUCAAGAAGGAUUUCUCCUUCACAUAGCUCUGCAGUUUCUUCGAGUCAUAGACCAGUCGUUAUUGAUCU
rnacentral:lncRNA from 1 species